GGAGAGGUGCCAGAGUGGUCGAAUGGGCUCGACUCGAAAUCGAGUGACCCUCCAAAAGGGGGUCCGUGGGUUCGAAUCCCACCCUCUCCGCCA
rnacentral:tRNA from 1 species